GGGGGCCGCACAAGCGGUGGAGCAUGUGGUUUAAUUCGACGCAACGCGCAGAACCUUACCAGCCCUUGACAUGUCCAGGACCGGUCGCAGAGACGUGACCUUCUCUUCGGAGCCUGGAACACAGGUGCUGCAUGGCUGUCGUCAGCUCGUGUCGUGAGAUGUUGGGUUAAGUCCCGCAACGAGCGCAACCCCCGUCCUUAGUUGCUACCAUUUAGUUGAGCACUCUAAGGAGACUGCCGGUGAUAAGCCGCGAGGAAGGUGGGGAUGACGUCAAGUCCUCAUGGCCCUUACGGGCUGGGCUACACACGUGCUACAAUGGCGGUGACAGUGGGAUGCGAAGACGCAAGUCCUAGCAAAUCUCAAAAAGCCGUCUCAGUUCGGAUUGGGCUCUGCAACUCGAGCCCAUGAAGUUGGAAUCGCUAGUAAUCGUGGAUCAGCACGCCACGGUGAAUACGUUCCCGGGCCUUGUACACACCGCCCGUCACACCAUGGGAGUUGGCUUUACCUGAAGACGGUGCGCUAACCAGCAAUGGAGGCAGCCGGCCACGGUAGGGUCAGCGACUGGGGUGAAGUCGUAACAAGGUAGCCGUAGGGGAACCUGCGGCUGGAU
rnacentral:rRNA from 1 species